GAGGGUUUAGCUCAGUGGUAGAGUGUGUGCUUAGCGUGCACGAGGUCCUGGGUUCAAUCCCCAGUACUUCCA
rnacentral:tRNA from 1 species